GGGAUUGCUACAGCUCCAACAACAUCAGGGACUCCAGGAAACGAAAGAGACAACAAGAUAUGAGAAGUCAAAAACUGAAAGCCAUAGACGAGCGCAGGGUGGU